rnacentral:rRNA from 1 species
UGGGGGAUAUUGCACAAUGGGCGAAAGCCUGAUGCAGCGACGCCGCGUGGGGGAUGAAGGCUUUCGGGUUGUAAACCUCUUUCGCUAUCGAACAAGGCCCGCUUAGGGUGGGUUGAGGGUAGGUGGAGAAGAAGCGCCGGCUAACUACGUGCCAGCAGCCGCGGUAAUACGUAGGGCGCGAGCGUUGUCCGGAAUUAUUGGGCGUAAAGGGCUUGUAGGCGGCUUGUUGCGCCUGCUGUGAAAACGCGGGGCUUAACUUCGCGCGUGCAGUGGGUACGGGCAGGCUUGAGUGUGGUAGGGGUGACUGGAAUUCCAGGUGUAGCGGUGGAAUGCGCAGAUAUCUGGAUGAACACCGAUGGCGAAGGCAGGUCACUGGGCCAUUACUGACGCUGAGGAGCGAAAGCAUGGGUAGCGAACAGG